UACGUAGGUGGCAAGCGUUGUCCGGAUUUACUGGGCGUAAAGCGCGCGCAGGCGGAUUGGUCAGUCCGGGGUGAAAUCUCACGGCUCAACUGUGAGCGGUCCCCGGAUACUGCCAGUCUCGAGGUGUCUAGAGGAGAGCGGAAUUCCCGGUGUAGUGGUGGAAUGCGUAGAUAUCGGGAAGAACACCAGUGGCGAAAGCGGCUCUCUGGGGGACCACCUGACGCUGAGGCGCGAAAGCGUGGGGAGCGAACCGG
rnacentral:rRNA from 1 species